GGGGGGGGUGCUAGCAUCACAGACUGCUUUGGAAUGUUUUGAUGUAUUAGGUGACACUUGAGAUACAGUUUCUAUUUUUCAACAUUAGAUGACAGUACUGCACUGAGAAUGUUAUUUUCCCUAAACAAUUUAAUAGCAUUCUUACUCUAAUGUAGAUUAUAAAAAUAAAGGGCUAUUUUGGUAAAUAGUUGGUUAUUGUACAUUAUUUUUAGAUUAGGGCUCUUUACUCUUGAGAAAAAAAAAUCUGAACAUAAGAACACAAAAAUCACUACUAUGGGAUAGUCUAAACAUCAUGGUUUUCUCAUAAGAAUUCAUUUCAUGAGGAAGUAGGGAUCUACAUAAUGGCAAGAGCCAGCGAUGCUACUCUUCUUUGACAGUCACCAUCACGCACAAACUUAGCAUUGGCAACUUUCAACAACAAACACAUAAGUACAAAUGAGACAUGGCCCCAGCCUUUCAAGCUCUCAUCACUUCUAGUGGAUUAGUAGGUACAGAAUGUGUCAUAAGUGAUUAUAAGCAUUUGCUUUGAUUAAUACUGAGAGGGAAAGAGAGAGAAACAGAUUGACUUUCACUUGAAAGAAAAUCAAAAUUAAAAAAAAAAAGUCUGCCCACCUACCGAGACAACCUGAUGUGUUUUGAUAACAUCUUCAGUAUCUACACCAGUUAAAACACCACAGUGUCCCUAUUUUAAUGUCUUUCCUGCUGAGGUACUUUAAGAAGUCAGUGGUUUAUUUGCAGAUACUACUACCAAGUACCAUCAAGUAAACCAGUAUCAGUUGCAUGUAUCUUCCUUACCUGUCUCAGAUCAUUUACAUUUAGACUCCAGCUACCUCAUUCUAGGUGUUUAUGCUAUGAAACUAUGCAAUGUAAAAGUUGGGUGGAUGCAAUAAAACAACCCACUUUUGCACAUAAACCAAAAUACUUUCAAAGACUUGCUGUCCAGGUGGGAUUUCUGGUUAACAAAAUAUCUCAUACUGCAGCCCAGGGAGCAAACACAGCAGCCGCCCUUUUCAUACACACAGUGACGAUUUCAACCAUUUCUAAUUGUUAAUAUUUUGAACUUUAAAAUCUAUCUCUUAGGGAUUUGUGCUAUAUAUAGAAAUAAUCAUUACCCUUCGGGAAACAAUGGCUCAUUUACUGAAAAUGAGUUUAACAAAGGAAUUAUUUGGUACUGAAAAAUACAGAGCAGUGAAUUGGGUGACACAAAUCACAACAUCAUCAGCUCAUGUGACUGUAUUAGGGUAAUUUCCUUAAAAAAAUAAAAAACUACAGUAACGUAAAAUUUAGCUCCAGCAAUCUAAUAUCCUCAAUCAUGUCCUCUGUCAUAAAAUUGUGAAACCAGAUCUUAGGUUCUUAAUUUGAGAAUGUCCCUUAAUUCUCAAUUUGAGAUAAAUACCACAAAAAAGAAAAACUCUGCCGAAUGGAAUAUUUCUAUUCUGCCUGAAGCCUAGUUUUGACUGGUAUGUUUCAGUUGCACAUUUGAUUCACACUGAAUUUUGUUUUAAGUAUUAAGAGAAUAAAUAGCAUUCCAAAAAGUCACAAGCUUGAAAACUUCCAGUUCCUUCUCUAGUUGGAGAUCUUACAAAACUUAUUACAUGGAACAGUGAGUUGAUGCAGUGACCAUAAAUUUCUUAACACUGUAAGUCUAAAUUUAAUCAAAACCCAAUCUCAGAAAGUUCUGUAAAAACAGCCUUGAAGUAGAUAAAGCAAAAAGUCACAAAAUGUUAAUCUAGAAGAAAGGUUUAUGGGAGUACCACUGUACAAUUCUUUUAAGUUUUCUGAGGUUUAAAAUUUUUCAAAAAAUAAAAGGGGGAGAGGCAUGAUAGCCUCGAAGCAGAUACAGAACAUGAUUACAUACAUGAAAAGAGUGAGCUAUUUUCAAAAGCCCUGUAGCUCGUAACAUUAAACUUUUACCAGAAACCUUAGUCACUAGCACACAAAAACUGCCCAACAGAGUAUUCUAAAUAUUGUUGUUUUUUCUUUCAGAAGCAUUGUUCCUGGUUUCAUUUAUAAGAAUUUUGUUUUUUAUUCUGUUUUUUUUUUUUUGCUUUUAGAAGAACACUUCCUCCACUUUCAAUGGGCAUUAACUUGGACGGGUAUUACUGGUAAAACAGCAAAGGAGCAAAGGUUCUGGCUCAGCCUCCUACCAGUUGUAUGACCUUGAACAAAUCUCUUAGCUUCUCUGCGUCUCAAUUUUCCCACGUAAAAUGAGGCAGUUACACUAGAUGCAUUCUAAAGAAUCCCCCAACUCUGUAAUUCCUUUCAGGUAGAGCUCUAGGCUUGCGAGAAAGAAAAAACUAGCCCUCAAAGAGGAAAAAAAUGGCCAAAAUCUACCUUUGUAAUGUUGGUGAAACAAAUAGGAUACCAAGCUGUAAGCACACAAUGUAAUAAUCAUGAUCCCAAACUUUAAAACUUUAACACUAUUAUAAAUGCACACAUUUCAGAUUUUAAAAAUUGAAAAAAAAUUAUACCAAAAUACUAUUAGUGGCUAUCUCUGAGUUACAGGUUAAAUGUAGCUUUUCUGUGUUCUCCAAGUUUCUUACAACAAACAUAUUAUUACUUUGAUAACAGAGUGAAAGGAGGGAGUUAUAAGCAAGGAAAAACCCCCCUCUUAUGUGCUAAAGGAAAUUUUACCUUUGGAAGGCAUUCUAGAAUUUGAAAGAAUUUUCUGAGAACAGUUGGGUGUUAAUCAGAAAAAAAUUCUCUGGUAUAGUCAUUAACUUGAUACCUGUCAAAAUCAUUCAAAAGCUGUUGGUUACCUGCCCUAGGUUAGUAAACUUAAGGAGGUACUGCAUUUUUUCAUGAGUACUGAAACUGGUAAUAAUAAUGACAGCUAAUGUAUAUCUAAGUGCCAAGCACAGUUUUAAGACUACAUAUACACUGAUUCACUGAAUCCUCACAACAACCCUAUGCAAUAGAUAUACCAUUAUUUACUAUUUCCAUUUUACACAGGACAACCAGAGGUUAAAUAGUUUGCCCACAACUAAUAUUCCAGGCAGUCAUCAGAGUACAGGCUUUUAACUAUUUAACCAUCCUGUCCUUUUGUACUUCUGCUCAGGUCAUUCUUUAACUGCCUUUUGCUCUCAAAGUUCAUCUAAACUACUUUUCUUUAACCUGCAAAGAAAUAAUAUUUAAGUACUGGGAUAAAAAGACUGGCCAACCUUUUAACUUGGUAGGUGAAAAUUAUGAUUCAUUUUUAAGUCAUUACUUCAAAGGUACAGGAAGUAUAAUUUAAUCUCAACACAUAUCACAAGGUAAACAACACGGUAACAUCUGAGGGAUUAAAUAUGUAGCAUUAAUUACUAAGUUAAAAUUGGAAUAUCUUAAUAAAAGAAGACACAAAUGAUUGACGUUAAUUUGUCCUCAUGAAUCGUCUGUGAAAAGAGCCCCUAAAACCAAAUGUUGGACCUUUCUAAAAUUUCAAUCAUACUGAAAUGCCAUUUUAAACCAUGUUGUAAUUAACAUGGUUUGGUUUUUAAAAGAAUGCAUCAAUAUUUAUUUUGAACACUGGCCUUAGUACACACCCAGUUAUCUUCACAAUAACCUCAAAUACUAUUAACAUGCAGAACCUGGGACAAGGAACACAAAGGAAGCUACCAAUUAAAUACAGCUGAAGGUUCUCACCUAAUUCUUGGGCAAUUUAAAUCCAAACCAAGUAUCCUUUUUUGGGCCUGUACCAUUACCUGUCAAUUUUUAUGGUUUCUGGGUUACUUUUAAUAAAAGCUCAAAUUUCCUCACAUCUGUGUUACUAAAUGUCUAGCUCUGUCAAAGUAAAUACAGAAAUCAAUAGUUUCCUAUUUUAAAAAAUUAAAAAGAGAAGGAAGUGGAGAAGUGAGAAAAAAACUUUGCACUGGGUUGCCUGUUAGCUUAGAUGUGCAAUGAGACAAUCACCUGGUAAUUGUACCCUUUGGGUACUUCUGUACUGGUAAGAUAAUAAAGUGAAAUAAAGGUGACUUUCUUUCAAUUUACUUAUACAAUUUGCAAAUCUGUAGCUCUCUGCCAUGGUAGAUUAAGAAAAUUAGCAUGUAAGAAAAAUCACCUGCUUAUGUAAAUUGGAGGAUGGUUUUUAUCUAUGCAGACAGAAAAAAAAAAUAGCUGCAAUCUGGGUCAAAUGACUAAUUUUAUCAAUUUGUUCAAAGGUCUCCCUUCACCUUUUCUCUGUAGCUCAGGGCAAGAAUUUUAGGUCAAGGAAUGGAUAAACAAAAAAGUAUCUGUGUUGUCCAUUCUCCUGUAAGAAGUUUGCUGCCUGACACUACUGAGCUCUAUAUUACUUAAACUGAAAACAAGACUGAGAACUUUAUCUAGAUAACAAAACCACAAUACUGAGAGAGGAAAGAAAAGAAAUCAAUGGACGAUAUCUGAUCUAACUGGCAAAGAAAGCAAACAUGACAAGGAUCAGGUACCAAUUUUACCUUCUGCUACUUUAAGCAAACAGGGCUUCAGAAAAGGAAAUUACUCCAAAUAAUUCAGGGCAGGCAGGACAACUUCUCUACAAAGAACACUACUCCACUCUGCUCUAUAAACACACCGGGUCAAGUUCCUCUGAGUCUGACACAAGUUAGAUGAAUGUGUUCUUCCUCAUUUAAUGACUAUUUUCCCAGCAUUCAUUGCUGGGAUUCAUCCGACCCACUUAUAACUGACUCCAUCUCCAGUCCAGGAGUGGACCUGACUGCUUCAAAGUGACCUUAUCCACACUGACAGUGACGGGUUCAGAGCUGAGAAUACAAUUCAAUAAACGCUAAAGACAUUCUAGAACUGGGCUGGUCAAUCAGGCAGUCAACAGUCACUGGGCUACUGAACACUUGAAAUCUGCAGGAUACUCCAACCUCUUCAGGACUGAGCUCAAGCUUGCAUCUCCACCCUCAUCUCCUGUCACCUGCACUGCAAUUGAUAUUCAGCAGUUCCAGCCCUCUGAUAAAAACAUUCAAUGCAGCUAAGCAGAAAAACUUGGUUAAAGAACAAAGAAGGACCUGACCAGGAGAUCAAGUAACCAAGCAGCAAAGAUGCCACAGCACCGUGCUGGGGAGAAAAAAAGGAAUCCCACACACCUUGGAGAACAGAGCACUGCAGCAGCAACCUCCUUGGAGAGCUCGCUGGGAAAACACUGGACUUUACCAGGUUUCCUGCCACAAGUGGAUACUAAAACUCCAUCUUUAAUUCGGGGGAGGUUCCAACUUUGAAUGUGGGAAUGAAGGCCAAAC